AAAUAAGAAACAAAUAAUUGUAUUUAGUUUCGACCUAAAAUUUAGAUGAAUCAAUCCUUAUUUAAUAA
rnacentral:tRNA from 1 species